GGAUGGAGGUAGAUACUGGAGUGAUGGAGGUAGAUACUGUAUGUAGAGGGAUACUGGAGGGAUGGAGGUAGAUACUGUAUGUAUAGGGAUACUGGAGUGAUGGAGGUAGAUACUGUAUGUACAGGGAUACUGGAGUGAUGGAGGUAGAUACUGGAGUGAUGGAGGUAGAUACUGUAUGUAUAGGGAUACUGGAGUGAUGGAGGUAGAUACUGUAUGUACAGGGAUACUGGAGUGAUGGAGGUAGAUACUGGAGUGAUGGAGGUAGAUACUGGAGUGAUGGAGGUAGAUACUGGAGUGAUGGAGGUAGAUACUGGAGUGAUGGAGGUAGAUACUGGAGUGAUGGAGGUAGAUACUGGAGUGAUGGAGGUAGAUACUGUAUGUAGAGGGAUACUGGAGUGAUGGAGGUAGAUACUGUAUGUAGAGGGAUACUGGAGUGAUGGAGGUAGAUACUGGAGUGAUGGAGGUAGAUACUGUAUGUAGAGGGAUACUGGA